UACGUAGGGUGCAAGCGUUAAUCGGAAUUACUGGGCGUAAAGAGUGCGUAGGCGGUCCUGUAAGUUUGGUGUGAAAUCUCCCGGCUCAACUGGGAGGGUGCGCCGAAGACUGCAGGGCUUGAGUAUGGGAGAGGUAAGCGGAAUUCCUGGUGUAGCGGUGAAAUGCGUAGAUAUCAGGAGGAACACCUGUGGUGUAGACAGCUUACUGGACCAUAAACUGACGCUGAGGCACGAAAGCGUGGGUAGCAAACAGG
rnacentral:rRNA from 1 species